GCCUCCAUCUCCAUUCUCCAUCUCCAUUCCAAGCAACUGGUCUUCUCUUCAAAAUGUUUUCGUUUUAUGAAUGGUGAGAAGACAUAAAUUAAUUGAAACCCUAGAGCAUCUUCUCCUUCACAUUUCCUACCGAACAAGAUCAAUUGGUUGGAUAUUUAUCAAUCUUAUAAUACUAAUCUAAUCAAUGUAUCAAAACUUUGCAAUCAAGAGAUCAACAAGAGAUUCACGGUUUACAUGGAAUUUGGUUUUAAUGAUUUAGGCUGCAAGUUUUGCUCGAACAAACAUCGACCCAUCUACGUGAGAAGACAAAAAGAACCCUGGUGAAUCACGGAUUCCGGCUCAGGUUUACAUGGAAUUUGGUUUUAAUGAUUUAGGCUGCAAGUUUUGCUCGAACAAACAUCGACCCAUCUACGUGAGAAGACAAAAAGAACCCUGGUGAAUCACGGAUUCCGGCUCAGGCCUGAGCCUCAAUGGAAUCGUACAACCGUCGUUGCAGUUGUUGUUUUUGUGUUUGUAGGUUCUUUCGGCUCCAUUGAUGCUUUCUUGAUGGGUUUGAUUUGUAGACUGGUGCGACAUAUUAGCCAAGAAGAUGUUAUUUCUUUACUCAUUGAUGAUGCACAAAUG